AANAGUUGUAAAUUCCAGUAAUGAAUUUUCUUCUAUCGAUUUUCCGUUUUGCGAUGUUGUCAGGCAUACCGGAAUAAAAGAUAGUAUUGAAGUAACGG